UUUCCGGUUGAUCCUGCCGGACCCGACUGCUAUUUGGGUGAGGAUAAGCCAUGCAAGUCGAAUGGGAUACCUAAAUUUCCCAUGGCAAACUGCUCAGUAACACAUGAUCAACUUAACCUAUAGAGAGAUACAACCUCGGGAAACUGAGGAUAAUAUUUCAUAGUUGAAUUGGCUUGGAAAAGUUUUUCAAUAAAAGGAAUAAGAAAAAUGGUUCUUAUUUGCUAUAGGAUAGGAUCGUGGUCGAUUAUGGUUGUUGGUGAGAUAAUGGCUCACCAAGCCGAUAAUCGAUAGGGGCCGUGAGAGCGGGAGCCCCGAGAUGGGUACUGAGACAACGACCCAGGCCUUACGAGGCGCAGCAGGCGCGAGACCUCCGCAAUACACGAAAGUGUGACGGGGUUACCCAAAGUGUUCAAUCUUGAACUGUGGUAGGUGAGUAAUGUUCCCUACUAGAAAGGAGAGGGCAAGGCUGGUGCCAGCCGCCGCGGUAAAACCAGCUCUUCAAGUGGUCGGGAUAAUUAUUGGGCUUAAAGUGUCCGUAGCUGGUUUAGUAAGUUCCUGGUAAAAUCGGGUAGCUUAACUAUCUGUAUGCUAGGAAUACUGCUAUACUAGAGGGCGGGAGAGGUCUGAGGUACUACAAGGGUAGGGGUGAAAUCUUAUAAUCCUUGUAGGACCACCAGUGGCGAAGGCGUCAGACUGGAACGCGCCUGACAGUGAGGGACGAAAGCCAGGGGAGCGAACCGGAUUAGAUACCCGGGUAGUCCUGGCCGUAAACGAUGCAUACUAGGUGAUGGCACGGCCAUGAGCCGUGUCAGUGCCGUAGGGAAACCGUUAAGUGUGCCGCCUGGGAAGUACGGUCGCAAGGCUAAAACUUAAAGGAAUUGGCGGGGGAGCACCACAAGGGGUGAAGCCUGCGGUUCAAUUGGAUUCAACGCCGGG
rnacentral:rRNA from 1 species